AAAGGGAUUAGAUACCCCUGUAGUCCUAGCCGUAAACGAUGGAUACUAGGCGUUGCCCGUAUCGACCCGGGCAGUGUCGUAGCCAACGCGUUAAGUAUCCCGCCUGGGGAGUACGCUCGCAAGAGUGAAACUCAAAGGAAUUGACGGGGCCCGCACAAGCGGUGGAGUAUGUGGUUUAAUUCGAUGCAACGCGAAGAACCUUACCAAGACUUGACAUGUCGCGAAUCUCCUUGAAAGGGGAGAGUGCCUUCGGGAGCGCGAACACA
rnacentral:rRNA from 1 species